rnacentral:rRNA from 1 species
AGAGCGAACGUUAGCGGCGGGCCUAACACAUGCAAGUCGAGCGAGAAAGUCUCCUUCGGGGGGCGAUUAAAGCGGCGAACGGGUGAGUAACACGUGGGUAAUCUACCCCUUGGCGCGGGACAACAGUUCGAAAGGGCUGCUAAUACCGCAUAAGUCGGCGAAGUCUUCGGACAUCGUCGGGAAAGGAGGGCCUCUGCAUAUGCUCUCGCCGAGGGAGGAGCUCGCGUCCCAUCAGCUUGUUGGUGAGGUAAUGGCUCACCAAGGCAGAGACGGGUAGCUGGUCUGAGAGGAUGAUCAGCCACACUGGGACUGAGAUACGGCCCAGACUCCUACGGGAGGCAGCAGUGGGGAAUAUUGGACAAUGGGCGAAAGCCUGAUCCAGCCACGCCGCGUGUGGGAUGAAGGCCUUAGGGUCGUAAAUCACUGUGGGUAGGGACGAAAGGCAGACGGUUAAUAACCGGCUGAUUUGACGGUACCUACUUAGCAAGCACCGGCUAACUCCGUGCCAGCAGCCGCGGUAAUACGGAGGGUGCGAACGUUGCUCGGAAUUAUUGGGCGUAAAGCGCGUGUAGGCGGCAAUUUAAGUCGGAUGUGAAAGCCCUGGGCUUAACCCAGGAAGUGCGUUCGAUACUGGAUUGCUAGAGUAUGGGAGAGGGUAGCGGAAUUCUCGGUGUAGAGGUGAAAUUCGUAGAUAUCGGGAGGAACACCAGUGGCGAAGGCGGCUACCUGGACCAAUACUGACGCUGAGACGCGAAAGCGUGGGGAGCAAACAGGAUUAGAUACCCUGGUAGUCCACGCUGUAAACGAUGAGUGCUAGGUGUUGCGGGUAUUGACCCCUGCGGUGCCGAAGUUAACGCAUUAAGCACUCCGCCUGGGGAGUACGGCCGCAAGGCUA